rnacentral:ncRNA from 1 species
UCCUCAAGGCAUGGCGCAGGACAAUGACGGGGAAGGAAAGGCCCUUGAGGCGGGCCGUGCGGAUAUAUUGCGAGGUCAUGACCUCGGCCAUGGAGGCGCGGGUCAUGCGGGCGAUGUAGCCCAUUCCGUAGAGGGCCAUGGUCAUCACCGGCAGGGUGAAGUUCCAGAAAUCGAUGU